AUCUGUAUUUUCUCUCUAAAGCAGAGUUCAUUUGCUGAGAAUGAUGGAGAAAAUCAGCAUCUAGCUAAUCAGCUGACCAUGAGAUGCAGAGAUUAUCUGGAAUUAUCCAGAUUGGUCCAUUUAAUUACAUGAGUCCUUAAAAGUGGAAAGUGGAAGAAGAGGCAGAAGAGUGUGUCAGAGAGAUGCUGUGUGAAAAGGACUCAACCUGCCACUUGAGGCUUUGAGGCUGGAGAAAGGGGCCAUGAACCAAGGAUUGUGAGCAGCCUGUAAAAUCUGGAAAAGACAAGGCAAUACCCUUUGCUGUCUCAGGGUCAAACAUGCAACUCCUGCCUGCUUGUAUGGCCAGCUGGGUUCAAGAAGGAAGGAACCUCAUUGUUGACAGUUACCAGAUGAAUGUGCCCCUUCUGUACAGCUAAGAAAUGGAAUAGACAUUGGUAACCUUCCACAGGCCCACACAUGUGUUAUCAGCCAUACCUUAGGACAGAAGGAAUGAGUUUGCAGAAAGGAUGCCCUACAACCAUACUGAGAAUUUAGCCCUGGGGACAUCUUCCGAUAUAAUCUGGCAUAGAAGAGUGGUUAUCACACCUUUAGCAUGGAUAGAAAUGCAAAACAAUAUUUGUAAUAGUCUGUGCUCACGCUGCUAUAAGGACAUACCCAAGACUAGGACCCUUGAGACACCUUUGCUGUGAAUAAUGGAGAAGCAAAAGGAGUUACUAAUGAAGACAAACUAAACCUGAGAACAGAGAGAGCCUAACUAUGUGCUCCAGAAGUGCCAUGUGUGUCUAAGGUAGGUCCAAAGGUAUGAGUCUAGAGAUAUUAUGUAUAAAACACCUAAUUGAAUGUCAAAAAAUCCAUAGAAGCUUAAUAAUUGGUAGCAAUUAUUAUUACUCAUUAGUGUGGGGGCUGGGAAGAUGACAACAGAGUAUAACUUGGAGGGUUGGUGUAGAGCAAUUAGCUAGCAACUGUAGUUUGAAUUUCCAUGAAGUAGUUCCCUUAAUUGUGUACACACAAACACAUCAAAACUGAAACCACAGCUAUGUGAUUUAAUAAUGUUGCACGUUUAGACAUGAUACAAGGCACUUUUGCCUACAUUAUCUUUCUGUGAGUUUAACAUUAGACCUGGUAUAAUUAUCCUAAAUUUACUACUAGAGAAUUUAGUUUGAAAAGUCAUGCAACUUUUCUAAAGAAUUUUUUCUGAUUUAAUAACACCAAUCAAUGAAUUAAUCAAUCAACUGUUCUGGCCAUUAAAUGUGUGAGAAAAAAAAGUCAGU
ensembl:lncRNA novel transcript